CGCUUCACUCUAAGCGAUAUAUUUCCGAACACAAUCUAGGGCUGUUGCCUGCCCUCUAGUGUACUUUCUCAUUUCUCAUCGUUCACGACCAACGUUCGCGCGCUCUUUAUCGCCGGUCCGCCAAAAGUACAAGCAUCAAAAAACGUAAUAAUACGUAGCAAUAAAAGGACUCAUGCAAAAGUUUGAAAGCCGCAAAAGAAAUGAUAUCCGAAUGCUUUAGAUUAAUUUUGCUGAAGACAACAAUUCUGUAUAAGGAUGAGGUCUAAGAGAGACAUAAAGCAUAGAUGGAAUAAUUUUUGGAUCUUUGUUGAAGAUAUUGACAAUCUUAGAGGAGGAGAAAAUCUUGGGAAAGGCAUAGAACGUAGAUGAAGCUGUUUUAAGAUAAUUUGAAUACAGAGGACAUUGACAACCUGAGAGGAGGAGGAGGCCUGGGAGAGGCAUUGGGCACUGAUGGAGCAAUCCUAAGAUCAGCGUGGCUUCGUAAUUCCACUGUUACGCACCGACCGAUAAGUAAUAAAUUAUUUUAUUACGAGGUAACGGUGUAAAGAUUAGAUUGUAGAUGUAGAUCUAGAUUGUAGAUUGUAGAUUGGUAGAUAGUUCCGUUACCUCAAAAUGAAUGGAUUAUAAAUAAAUAGAUAUAGAUUAAGAAUAUUUCCGGAAUAAUUAAAGGAAAUACGGAAAACAUUUUAUAAUUCAUAUACGUAGUAUAUUUAAUCUAAUU